AGUUCUUUGAAGAUGUCAUUCAUGGAGCAUUUUCUGCAGGAUGGAGUGUGUUAGCACUUCACAACUAUUUUAUCAGUUGGAAACACACACAGGAAUUCCCGCUUGGGAAUGACCAUCAAGUUCCUGGCCACUACAGGAAGGUGUGCAUAAAAAGCACUUCCAAAGCGGGCAGCCUCUACCAGUCCUCUCCAUUCAGCGAGGGAACACAAGGGAAGUACACAUUUGUAUAUAUUGAUGAAACCAAAAUUGGGAGAUGGCCUAGAUGAUAGGCCUGAAGUCAGUCAAUUGAGUAGAGGUGGCAGCUGCAACCACGGAGUCUCAAGACGCUUGGCAUUGUGUUCUCUAUUCUAUGAUGGAAGCUACCCUUACCUCUAACCUCAACAGCCAAUGAACCUGGAGGCCUGCAGUAUUUCAAAGUGGGAUGGGAUUGUUGACUCCUCUAAACCAGGCCAAGCCUUGGAUUUCGUCCCACAGAAAAACAAGAUCAAGAGUAUCUGCCUGCUUUACGGUCCAUUAUUACUUUUGGUACGCGCUAGGCCAGUCUCAAACUCGUACCGUGAGUAAUAAUGCACUGUGGCUGUCACUGCCAACGAGGGACAGACCACACCACCAUAUCUUACUUUCACUGUUCUCCAUAUUCCUAUGCAUCUCGUUGUUGUAAAGCAAGAAAUGUGAAAUAUUCAUGAAAACAGUGUUUGAAACUCUAAGGCCUUGUGUGGGGAAAGACAGCAUUUUAAUAUAAUCCUUUGUCUACUUUCAUAAAGACUAUUAAUUUUACUUAAAUAUUAUUGUUGAGUUGUUUACAUGAAAUAUGUUGAAUUUUCUGUACCGUGUGAUUGUAAGCUAUAUGCAAAUGAAUAAUAAUAAAAAUACUUUAAUUUAGCUUA